AUGCUUGCUUUGGCAGAAUAUAUCCUAAAACUGGAACGAUACGAAGAUUAGCAUGCCCCCUGGGCAAGGAUAACAUGCAAAUUCACGUAGCAUUCCAUAUUUUU
ensembl:snRNA U6 U6 spliceosomal RNA